GAAACCACUGGUGAGCAAGAAGACCCUCUGCAAGAAUUAAAGGAUUGGCAGGUCCUCGUGGUCGUUCUGAAUCACCCUCAAGUGGCAAUUCUGAAAUGCUCUUCAGUGCUUAAAGCCUUAUUGCUGUUUAACAUGCUGGAAAGAAAUAUCCAGAAACAUUUAAAAAACCACACAAAUUCUGGGAGCUCUACAGUGGGAACACAUUUAUUGAUUUUUUUCCAAGUCCUGUAUCUAGCCUGUGAGAGAACAGUUACAAUUACAAUAAUAUUAAAUGUUGGCAAGAUAUAUA